UACGGGGGGGGGCAAGCGUUGUUCGGAAUUACUGGGCGUAAAGGGCUCGUAGGCGGCCAACUAAGUCAGACGUGAAAUCCCUCGGCUUAACCGGGGAACUGCGUCUGAUACUGGAUGGCUUGAGGUUGGGAGAGGGAUGCGGAAUUCCAGGUGUAGCGGUGAAAUGCGUAGAUAUCUGGAGGAACACCGGUGGCGAAGGCGGCAUCCUGGACCAAUUCUGACGCUGAGGAGCGGGAAGCCCAGGGGGAGCAA
rnacentral:rRNA from 1 species